rnacentral:RNase_P_RNA from 1 species
AUACUCAGAGGAAAGUCCGGACUCUUCAGGGCGGAGGGCUGGCUAACGGCCAGGAGCAGUGAUGCUACGGAAAGUGCAGCAGAAAAUAAACUACCUGAUUUAUCAGGAAAAGGUGAAAAGGCGGAGUAAGAGCCCACCGGGGUCACGGUGACGCGGCCCGCACGGCAAACCCCCCUCGGAGCAAGGUCUAAUAGAAAUGCCAUCUGCCGCGGCAGAUAAGGAUCGCCCAUCCGACGCAUUCGGGUUGACCGCUUGAGAUUGCAGGCAACUGUAAUUCCAGAUGAAUGACUGGUUAAAACAGAAUCCGGCUUAUGUGCUACUUUU